CUGUUUGCUAAUAAUAAACAGCUCACUAAGCAACGGACGGCUAUCGCGAUCGAUAGCGAUUCGUAGUGUUCUUGAUUGACACCAAGAGGUGGUCUGCAACAUGUGUGAAAGACGUGGAGUGGCCCCACGAUCAAAUAAAGAUCUUUCACUCCAGCACACAUUUCAUUUUAAUUAAUUGGAUUAAACUGAAAUUGCUGAAGUGACUUAAUUUAUGUUAGCAACAAAAAUUUCUGCAGGCGAAAAGAUUUCAGUUUUUGUGGAACGAGCGGCUGUUAAGUGUGGGUUUUAAUUUAUUCAGUGUUGGUACCCGAGAGCUUUUCCAAAUUAAAUUUGUGGAAAAGUGUAGGAAGUGGCACAAAUGUGUUUAAUGUAUGUGAUGCAUUAUUUAAAAAUGUCUGGUUGGCGAGAGAUAAGUGAUGGAUCCUCUCACGAAACAGAACUUUUGAUGGCUUUGUUUGCUCGACAAUUACAGGCACUUUGUCAAGGUGGGCGUAAUCGCUAUUGCAAUUAUGAUUUUUACAACAACUAGACGAUAACGCGAUUCAGGGAAAGCUUCAUUCACUAUCUCUAUUAGCUGACACGGAAUUAUUUCAACUUUGCCCUCCAACGAGUCAAUCUUCAGCUUAAUUACCGCAGGUUUUCGAGCGGUGCCACAAACGAGCUUUUCAGGAAGACUUCCAGACACACAAUAAGCUCCGUCUGAAUACGCGAUUUGCAUCCACAAUGUUUUUACCAAAAGUACACAAAUCGAAAAUCUCAUAUUUGCUUUCUACAAUUUUUCAUCCAUUUUUUCCCUCGGAAAACCUUUUAGAAUUCAUAGUGGCUCACGUGUUUUUUGCCUUAGCACCAGUUUCUAAAUUCUGUUAUAGUUAUUACUGUUCCAAAUACAAAUGUAAAAAACGACUGACAUUUUUAAGCAUAAUAAAAAUACCUCCCUUUUUACAUAAAUUGCUCUGCAGAGAAGCAACUUGAGCAAAAUCAGCUGAAUCCAGACACAGAAAUGUUAUUCCUAAUUACUUUACUCAGAGUUUCCAACAUAACUCUAUAGUAUUAGCAACAAAUGACAAACCAUUAGCUUAGUAGCAUUUCAUAGUUCUCUACGCUCAACCCUCAUUAUCCCUUAUAAUUUGCGAUAUAACUAAAUAUUCCCUAAGACUAAAAAAUACUAUGUGGUAGAUUACUAUCACAUUUCCCGUAAAAAAUCAUCUCAUCUUAAACUCGUUAACAGUAAUUCGGUAUAAAUUUCAAGUGGGCUGCAGAUCAUAAAAUUUCAAUCCUAACUUGUGUAAUUAGACGACACAAUUAACAUAGAAAAUAUUUUCAUUUCAUUAAAGCCUUGCUAACUUGCUUAAUGAAAAGCCAAAUUGCACUUGAUGGAUCUCGCUCAAUUUUUUCCCAUUAGCGCCCAUUAUAUCGUCAUAGUUUGUACCGAAAAUAAUGGUUUUAAUAGCACUAUGCCUGAGCUAUUAAUUAUUUACGCAUUUGCUUUAUUGGUAAUAUGUAUCCAGCUUUAAUAAUUAACUCAUCGAUUGGGAUUUGUACGAGUAUAUAAAACAGAGCUGUCUCCAAUAAGCUGAUAACAUCAUCGAAUAUCCUGUCGUUAAUUUAGGUGACAACAGGUGAAUAAGCUCCUUGCGAGUAAUAACUUACAAAAUGAGAUUAUUCCGUGUAUUGUUUUCUACAACGGCUGUUUUAUUAUUUUUGAGCUCAUUAGAAGCUCGUCCGGAAAUGUUUCUGGAUGCUACCGAUCUAUGCAUUUUAACGUGUGAUAAAUGCUACAAAAAUCAAGCUCUUCUGAAUUGUGCUAACAACUGUAUCGAUACAUCCGGCAAAGUAUUACCAUUCUGGAAACAGCAGUGUCCUUAUUUUACUACGAAACAUCCUCUCGUGCAACAAAUGUAAUUUUUAAACAGUGUUAAUUGUGUAAUGCGAAUACAAUUGAGUUUUCACAGGCAUUUUAUUUCUCUUUUGUAGGAAAGUGUGCAAACUUAAAUACUUCCUAUACGUAAUAUGCUUGAAAGAAAUCGGUACUUACUGGAAAUAACAAUGACUAUUUAUGCCGGGUUAAAUCGUGGUUUGUUCUAGCAAAUUUAAUUAUGUGUAACAAAUUGUACAGUAUUUAUUAGUGAAACCAAAUUCAAUCCUAAUCGCUUAAUUUACUACAAUUGUGACAAAUUUUACAUUGUUAUUGUAAUUCGAAAAUUCAUUACGACUACUAUGCUUUUCACUUCAGAAUUUGGAAAUCCCAUGAAUAAUAGGGUGAUAUCUCGACUAUGCGGCACAUUUAUAGGCAAGGCUCAGUCUAGGUUUACCAACCGUACCUACGUCUUUUAUUUUAAAUGAUAUUGCUUUAUUAAAUUGACAUGUCUUUUGGUCUUUUAGAUGCACUUACGUAAUUUGUUCUUUAAUUUAUAAAAGUAGCUGUGUUAAAUAAAUUUAGGUAAUUCAAA